GAUGAAGAACGUAGCGAAAUGCGAUAAGUAGUGUGAAUUGCAGAAUUCAGUGAAUCAUCGAGUCUUUGAACGCACAUUGCGCCCCCUGGUAUUCCGGGGGGCAUGCCUGUCCGAGCGUCAUUGCUGCCCAUCAAGCACGGCUUGUGUGUUGGGUCCUCGUCCCCCCCGGGGGACGUGCCCGAAAGGCAGCGGCGGCACCGCGUCCGGUCCUCGAGCGUAUGGGGCUUUGUCACCCGCUCUGCAGGCCCGGCCGGCGCUGGCCGACGCGAAAGCAACCAUUUUUUCUCCAGGUUGACCUCGGAUCAGGUAGGGAUACCCGCUGAACUUAAGCAUAUCAAUAAGCGGAGGA
rnacentral:misc_RNA from 1 species